GAGCUGGCUUUGGCAGCACAUAUACUAAAAUUGGAACAAUACACAGAAGAUUAGAAUGGCCUUUGCACAAAAGUGACAUACAAAUUUGUGAAAGUUUCCACAUUUUU
rnacentral:snRNA from 1 species